UACAGGGGGGCAAGCGUUGUUCGGAUUCAUUGGGCGUAAAGGGUGCGUAGGCGGCGCGGUAAGUCGGGUGUGAAAUCUCGGAGCUUAACUCCGAAACUGCAUUCGAUACUGCCGUGCUUGAGGACUGGAGAGGAGACUGGAAUUUACGGUGUAGCGGUGAAAUGCGUAGAUAUCGUAAGGAAGACCAGUGGCGAAGGCGGGUCUCUGGACAGUUCCUGACGCUGAGGCACGAAGGCCAGGGGAGCAAACGGG
rnacentral:rRNA from 1 species